AAUAAUAAUAAUAAUAAAAAUAAAGCAAUUGUUUUGAAAACAAUUGUUAGGCAGUCUUUCCCCUCUGAUGAAUGGAUAAUUGAUUUUUUUAUUGAUUGAUUUGGAAAAAAGGGGGGGGGGGGUAUUUGUUUUUUUUGUUUGUUUGUUUGUUUUUGCUUUGGUAUGGGUCUAUAUUAUUAUGUUACCGGAGAAGUUUCAUGUUUAGUUUGGAAAGUUUUUCUUUUAUUUUAGAUACAGCGCGCGCGCAAGAUUGAGGAGACAUCACGUGACGCGGGUUUAUAUUAAGAAAAACUUAGUCUUUUAAUUUCUUUUUAGGUCGGGACCUUGAACAGACAACAUGUCUAGAGAUGGAAUGUACACAAUGUAAUUUCUUUUGUCAUUGUAGGAAAUUGACAUUUUGAUCACAGUUCACCAG
rnacentral:lncRNA from 1 species